rnacentral:rRNA from 1 species
GUCUACGGCCAUGCCACCCUGGACACACCUGAUCCUGUCUGAUCUCAGAAGCUAAGCAGGAUCAGGCCUGGUUAGUACUUCGAUGGGAGACCAUAUAGGAAGACCAGGUACUGGAGGCA